UAUAUAUAUAAUUAUAUUAUUAACUAAAUUAAGAUAAUUAACAAAGAUAAGUUUUAAUAAUAAAUGAUUGUGUGAAAUCAUUAUAGUAAAUAAUCUGUUAUGAUUUUCAGUCGUCAUGUGAACUAUUCUUGUAAAGAUGAUCGCAUUUUAUCCAGAAACCACCUUUCCUUUUUCAACUGGGCGGGAAAAUCACAGAAUUCUUACCGCCCAUCUAAAAACUUCAAAAUCGAUUCUUACUGCAUGAAAAGAAACAGGCUAAAAAAGGAUUGGUGGGCAAACUGUUUCCCAUCAACUAUCUUUUCAAAGGUAUUUUGUAAAAGCAGAUGGAUCUGGUAGAACCCUAUAGAUUCUCAGAACUUUGAGAUAGCAUGCUUUAUCGAAAACAGAAAAUGCUAAUGGUAAUGGACUUCUAUGACAGCUGAAUCUGUCAAUGUAAUUUAGAUUUCUUUGGGAUUGUUUAAAAAUCAUUUACAGUUACUACAUCUUUCGGG
rnacentral:lncRNA from 1 species